UACGUAGGUGGCGAGCGUUGUCCGGAAUUACUGGGUGUAAAGCGCGUGUAGGCGGGAGGCCAAGUCUGCGGUGAAAUCGCUCGGCUCAACUGGGCGGGGUCCGUGGAAACUGGUCACCUGGAGGAUGGUAGAGGCGAGUGGAAUUCCCGGUGUAGUGGUGAAAUGCGUAGAGAUCGGGAGGAACACCAGUGGCGAAGGCGGCUCGCUGGGCCGGACCUGACGCUGAGACGCGAAGGCGUGGGGAGCGAACGGG
rnacentral:rRNA from 1 species